rnacentral:rRNA from 1 species
GACGAACGCUGGCGGCGUGCUUAACACAUGCAAGUCGAACGGAAAGGCCCUGCUUUUGUUCGGUGCUCGAGUGGCGAACGGGUGAGUAACACGUGGGUAACCUGCCCUUUACUGGGGGAUAACUUCAGGAAACUGUAGCUAAUACCGGAUAGGAGCUCCUGCUGCAUGAUGUUGGUUGGAAAGUUUCGGUGGUUGCGGAUGGACGCGCGGCUUCUCUGCUUGUUGGUGUGGGUGUGGCUUACCAAGGCUUUGACGGGUAGCCGGCCUGAGAGGGUGACCGGCCACAGUGGGCUUGAGAUGCGGCCAAGACUCAUACGGGAGGCAGCAGCGGGGAAUAGUGCAAGAUGGGCGGAAGCCUGAUGCAGCAACGUCGCGUGGGGGAGGACGGCCGUCGGGGUGUAAACCGCUUUCGCCUGUGACGAAGAGUGAGUGACGGUAAUGGGUAAAGAAGCAACGGCUAACUACGUG